UUUUCGGAGGGUGUUCUCUUUCUAUUUAGGUGAACCUUCUUAUCUUUGUUGUUUUAGGCUGGAGAGCAUCCGUCAAGCGAGACAACCACCAUCUGAUGCCAACUCAAAAAUAUUGCGCAACGUCAGAGCCAUUAUCUUUUGGGCACGGCGGCCAUCGAUCCUCCUCUCCCUAUCUUUGCUGGCGCCCCUCCACCACCACCGCCGCCCUCCAAUCUCUUUUGCCGGCAUCCCUCCGCCCAGACCCUCCCCUCUUCGCUCUCUUCUUUUCUGUUCCCUUCUUUCAGCGGCGCUUCUUCUCUUUAGGAGUUUGGAGAAAAUUCAUAUUUUAUAAUCUCAAAUUUAAUCGGCUAUACCCGCUGAUAUUUGACAGCACCGCAAGAAAACCUUUGCCAUAAACCCUCGCCGUUAUUUUUAAUCCAUUAAAACUUAGGCUUUAGAUCGCUGGCUGCGCUUAUUCUCUUCAUCACGAGAAAGAAAGAGCUCCAAAGAUGGUUCCCAGUCUCAAAAACCCUAAGAAGAGCAAGAGAAAGAACAAGAUGCCUCCUCUUCCGCUUCCCAUCCACUUCUUUUCUCUGCAUCCUUAUCCAUCGAUUCUUUUCCUUUUCGAACCAUUUAUUCUCAUGGUUUCUGUUGUUUUCUCCGUUGCAGAGCUUAAAGAAGGGUGAAAGAAAAUUGUUCUGUGCCAUCGGCACCUGCUAAGGUAGGGCAAUCUGGUGUUGAUAAGUUAGAAGAGGGAGAGGAGCUUCAAUUUGAUGCUUCAGUAUAUAAUUAUCUUCAUGCAUUUAAUGCCGGCUGGCCCUGUUUGAGUUUUGACAUAGUACAUGAUUCAUUGGGACCGGUCCGGAUAAAGUUUCGGCAUACGGCGUUGCCGGGACCCAGUUUCUUUCUCUCUCACUUCUAAGCCUUCGUAAUUACUCUAUUCUAUCAUAUACAAUAAUGAUGCUUGGAAGCACCUUUAAAGAAUACUCUAUAUAAACUCAAAUUGGGUUUCAAUCACAUACA